CAAGGCUUGACAUGCAUCGGAAGCAUCCAGAGAUGGGUGUGCUCUUUGAGUCGGUGUACAGGUGGUGCAUGGCUGUCGUCAGCUCGUGUCGAGAGAUGUUGGGUUAAGUCCCGCAACGAGCGCAACCCUUGUCCUGUGUUGCCAGCGGAGCCUUCGGGCUGCCGGGGACUCACGGGAGACUGGGCCCGUCAACUCGGAGGAAGGUGGGGACGACGUCAAGUCAUCAUGCCCCUUAUGUCUUGGGCUGCACACGAGCUACAAUGGCCGGUUCAAUGAGCUGCGAUACCGUGAGGUGGAGCGAAACUCAAAAAGCCGGACUCAGUUCGGAUUGGGGUCUGCAACUCGACCCCAUGAAGUCGGAGUCGCUAGUAUUCGCAGAUCAGCAAUGC
rnacentral:rRNA from 1 species